UACGUAGGCAGCGAGCGUUGUUCGGAGUUACUGGGCGUAAAAGGGUGUGUAGGCGGUCGUUUUAAGUUUGGUGUGAAAUCUCCCGGCUCAACCGGGAGGGUGCGCCGAAUACUGAAUGACUUGGAGUGCGGGAGAGGUGAGUGGAAUUCCUGGUGUAGCGGUGAAAUGCGUAGAUAUCAGGAGGAACACCGGUGGUGUAGACGGCUCACUGGACCGUAACUGACGCUGAGACACGAAAGCGUGGGUAGCAAACAGG
rnacentral:rRNA from 1 species